rnacentral:rRNA from 1 species
UGAAUACGAGACGCUAAGGCGUCGAAGUAGUGUAUGUCAUACUUCCAAGAAAAGCUUGCACUGUCAUAGAUAAAAAACGCCUGUACCAUAACCGACACAGGGGGGUAGGUAGAGUAUACUAAGGGGCGCGAGAUAACUCUCUCUAAGGAACUCGGCAAAAUAACUCCGUAACUUCGGGAGAAGGAGUGCCUUAUUCGUAAGGUUGCAAUAACAAGAUCCAAGCGACUGUUUAUCAAAAACACAGGUCUCCGCUAAGUCGUAAGACGAUGUAUGGGGGCUGACGCCUGCCCAGUGCCAGAAGGUUAAAGAAGUUGGUUAGCAAUUGCGAAGCUGAUAACUGAAGCCCUGGUGAACGGCGGCCGUAACUAUAACGGUCCUAAGGUAGCGAAAUUCCUUGUCGGGUAAGUUCCGACCCGCACGAAAGGCGUAAUGAUUUGGAUACUGUCUCGGAGAGGGGCUCGGUGAAAUAGACUUGUCUGUGAAGAUGCGGACUACCUGCACCAGGACAGAAAGACCCUAUGAAGCUUUACUGUAACUUGAAAUUGAAAUUGGACUUUAUUCGCGCAGCAUAGGUGGGAGGCGUUGAUUAUAAUCUUGCGGGAUUAUUGGAGCCAUCAGUGAGAUACCACUCUUGUAAUGUUAGAUUUCUAACUUUGAAUCAUUAUCUGGUCAAAGAACAGUUUCAGGCGGGCAGUUUGACUGGGGCGGUCGCCUCCUAAACGGUAACGGAGGCGUACAAAGGUUUCCUCUGAACGGUUAGAAAUCGUAUCUAGAGUGUAAAGGCAUAAGGAAGCUUGACUGUGAGACCUACAAGUCGAGCAGGGACGAAAGUCGGUCUUAGUGAUCUGACGGUACUGAGUGGAAAGGCCGUCACUCAACGGAUAAAAGUUACUCUAAGGAUAACAGGCUGAUCUCCCCCAAGAGUUCACAUCGACGGGGAGGUUUGGCACCUCGAUGUCGGCUCAUCGCAUCCUGGGGCGGUAGUACGUCCCAGGGGUUGGGCUAUUCGCCCAUGAAAGCGGUACGCGAGCUGGGUUCAGAACGUCGUGAGACAGUUCGGUCCAUAUCCGGUGUAGGCGUUAGAAUAUUGAGAGGAGCCUUCUUUAGUACGAGAGGACCGAGAAGGACAUACCUCUGGUGUACCAGUUAUCGUGCCAACGGUAAACGCUGGGUAGCUAUGUAUGGAGUGGAUAACCGCUGAAAGCAUCUAAGUGGGAAGCCCACCUCAAGAUAAGUAUUCUCAUC